UCCUAUGAUGGCAUGAAAUCUUUGAGACCUGAUUUAUAUUGAUGAAACGCUAUAAGCAUUUAUACUCUGAGGAU
rfam:Brassica rapa chromosome A1, whole genome shotgun sequence.